GUGUUCUCUCCGGCAGGCACUUCCCGGUGCCAGCCUGGCUGGGAGCAGUACCGAGGGAGAUGCUACUUUUUCUCCACGACUGCCAAACCCUGGCAGGCAGCCAGAAGCUACUGUUUGAGCCAGACUGCCAAUCUGGUGGUGAUCAACGAUCAAACAGAGCAGAAUUACUUGGCCAUUAAAGCUGAUUCUGUUCGUCGCUGGAUCGGCUUCACAGACCAAGAGACUGAAGGCGUCUGGCGCUGGGUGGACAACACUCCUGCAGCAUUUACGUACUGGAAUGAAGGGGAGCCCAAUAAUGAGCCCUCGAAGAAAAGCAGUGACGAGAACUGCGCCCACCUGUUGGACACCGGCCUGUGGAACGACGGACCCUGUAGUUUGUCUUAUAGGUGGAUCUGUGAAAGGGCCGCCACUGUGUAAACUGUCCUCUCUCCCCCCGGCUCUGAACACAGGCUGAAAUUCAUCCCCCCGCCAUGAGGCCUGGGCACGGCUCACAGCUUCCGCAUCAGCCCGUUGUGCUCUUGUGCUGACCCGUUGCCCAGGGCUGAAUCUCACACACAUCCUUGCUCUGCCCGAGGUAUCCUGGCCCCUCUCCCCAUUUGAUGCUCCCAGUGAAAACACCUUCCCCGCUGCAUUUCCCGGUGCCUGGGUCGGGCCCCCUGUGACGUUCCCCUCUGCUGUUAUCUGGACCGGUGAUCUGGUAGGUCACUCCAGUCCUUGAAUUUGGGAGGCAGCCUUACCCUGCUCUGCUGUAAGAAUCCCCAUUCCUGGGCUGUUCAUGCACAGCCUCCAGCAUGUAAACUGCUUGGAUUGAUCAACCAAAUGACAGUAGCCAAUAUCUCCAAUCCCAGACACAACCCUAGGAACCUCCCUCUUGCAGUGUCCAGUUAUGCCCGCUGGAGGCUGCCAGCUUAUAGGAGUUCGUCAAUGUAACAAAGAAAUUGAUAUGUACCAGGCUUGUUAUCCCCAGGGGAAUCUCUGACACGCUUCAAA